ACGGAAGGCAGCAGCAGUGAGGAAUAUUGGUCAAUGGGCGAGAGCCUGAACCAGCCAAGUAGCGUGCAGGAUGACGGCCCUAUGGGUUGUAAACUGCUUUUAACCGGGAAUAACGUCAUGCUCGUGAGCUUGAGUGCAUGUACCGGUUGAAUAAGGAUCGGCUAACUCCGUGCCAGCAGCCGCGGUAAUACGGAGGAUCCGAGCGUUAUCCGGAUUUAUUGGGUUUAAAGGGAGCGUAGGCGGAGUAUCAAGUCAGCUGUGAAAUGUAGUCGCUCAACGUCUGCACUGCAGUUGAAACUGGUACCCUUGAGUGCGUAAGAGGUAGGCGGAAUUCGUCGUGUAGCGGUGGAAUGCUUAGAUAUGACGAAGAACUCCGAUUGCGAAGGCAGCUUACUGGGCCGCAACUGACGCUGAAGCUCGAAGGUGCGGGUAUCGAACAGGAUUAGAUACCCUGGUA
rnacentral:rRNA from 1 species